GACGAACGCUGGCGGCGUGCCUAAUACAUGCAAGUAGGACGCAGUUGCGAACGUGUGAUUAACGCGUAGGAACCUACCUAUUAGUGGGGGAUAACUAUUGGAAACGAUAGCUAAUACUGUACGCUAGUAGAUUGACCUGCGUUGUAUUAGCUAGUAGGUAGGGUAAUGGCCUACCUAGGCAACGAUACAUAGCAGACCUGAGAGGGGGAUCAGUAACACUGGAACUGAGACACGGUCCAGACUCCUACGGGAGGCAGCAGGGGGGAAGAUUGGACAAUGGGCGAAAGCCUGAUCCAGCCAUGCCGCGUGUGUGAAGAAGGUCUUCGGAUUGUAAAGCACUUUAAGUUGGGAGGCGUUACCAACAGAAUAAGCACCGGCUAACUUCGUGCCAGCAGCCGCGGUAAUAC
rnacentral:rRNA from 1 species